rnacentral:rRNA from 1 species
AUUGAACGCUGGCAGCAGGCCUAACACAUGCAAGUCGAGCGGUAGCACAGGAGAGCUUGCUCUCCGGGUGACGAGCGGCGGACGGGUGAGUAAUGUCUGGGAAACUGCCUGAUGGAGGGGGAUAACUACUGGAAAGGGAAGCUAAUACCGCAUAACGUCGCCAGAACCGAGAAGGGGACCUUAGGGGCUCUUGCCAUCACAUGUGCCCUCUUGGGAAAUAGCACGGGGGGGGGCGCUCUGUCCUGAUAGCGGACCGCCACACCCAGCCGGCCACGGUCGAUGAAUCCCGAAAAGCGGCCAUUUUCCACCAUGAUAUUCGGCAAGCGGGCCUCGGCAUGGGUCACGACAAGGUGCUCUCCCUCGAUGUGCUCUCCUUGAGCCUGGAGAA